AACUGAUAAUAACGAAUAAAUAUUAUUAUUUUCGAUAAAAACCAACAUUACAAGUAAACUACAAUUAAAAAACAAUUUUUUUCUAUGAUUCUGGAGACAGUACCUAUUUCAAAAAGUUUCUCAUCGCUAUUAGCCAGUCAAAAUUACGAAAAACGUAUGAUCAACUGCGAAUGGUUGUCAUGAAGUUGAGGUGAAAUAAAAAAAUGGAUAUCAGAGCACGUAGGUAGCAAUACUGUGGUGUACUCGGAGUGUCCCGAUAAAUACGAACACCGCUUACAAAUAGUCUCAGCAACUACAGCAGUAACCACUAACCGCACAUAUUAUGCUGUCAAAUGUGGACUAAUUUUGUCACACAGUUAAUGAUUUCAUACGAAAAGGAAUGGUAAAAUUGAAUAAACAUUUAAGUACUAGACUGUUUUUAAUUUAACCACAUUACUAAGGUAUAUAUGAUUAGCUCUCUAGUUUUAACUGUAGGGAUGUAAUUCAAUGUAAGUGAUCUCAAACUAAUCAUAAUAUUCCAGUUUAGAUUGUAACGAGAAACAGCUCGGUAAUUUCAGGACCAUCGUAACAACAGCAUAACAAAAAUCGAGGACACAAGCCAUCAGGUAACACACAUCAACAAGUACACAAGCCAUAGACCACGGAAAGCCAACACAGUGUAAGACAGCAUUGAGGCGAUAAACAGAAUAUAAUUUUUUUUUAUUUAAUACCUAAUUCUUAAGAUUAGCCCUAACCAUUUCAUAAUAAAAUUAUGUUUGAAAAUGCACAUACUUGAAACUACAACCAUUAGUUUCAAAGUUUAAUUAACCUUAAAGACAAUAUUAGUUUAUUCAUAAUAUGUUCAUUUCAAACUAAUUAAAAACUAAAAUACCUUAUGGGUUUCUUA